rnacentral:rRNA from 1 species
CCUACGGGAGGCAGCAGUGGGGAAUAUUGGGCAAUGGGCGCAAGCCUGACCCAGCAACGCCGCGUGAAGGAAGAAGGCUUUCGGGUUGUAAACUUCUUUUCUCAGGGACGAAGCAAGUGACGGUACCUGAGGAAUAAGCCACGGCUAACUACGUGCCAGCAGCCGCGGUAAUACGUAGGUGGCAAGCGUUAUCCGGAUUUACUGGGUGUAAAGGGAGUGUAGGCGGGAAAGCAAGUCAGAUGUGAAAACCAUGGGCUCAACCUGUGGCCUGCAUUUGAAACUGUUUUUCUUGAGUACUGGAGAGGCAGACGGAAUUCCUAGUGUAGCGGUGAAAUGCGUAGAUAUUAGGAGGAACACCAGUGGCGAAGGCGGUCUGCUGGACAGCAACUGACGCUGAGGCGCGAAAGCGUGGGGAGCAAACAGGAUUAGAUACCCCUGUAGUC